GACAGGGGAUGCAAGCGUUAUCCGGAAUGAUUGGGCGUAAAGCGUCUGUAGGUGGCUUUUUAAGUCUGCCGUCAAAUCCCAGGGCUCAACCCUGGCCAGGCGGUGGAGACUACUAAGCUGGAGUACGGUAGGGGCAGAGGGAAUUUCCGGUGGAGCGGUGAAAUGCGUAGAUAUCUGAAGGAACACCAGUGGCGAAGGCGACUUUCUGGACCAAUACUGACACUGAGGCACGAAAGCGUGGGGAGCAAACAGG
rnacentral:rRNA from 1 species